rnacentral:rRNA from 1 species
AUUGAACGCUGGCGGCAGGCCUAACACAUGCAAGUCGAGCGAGCGGCGGACGGGUGAGUAAUGUCUGGGGAUCUGCCCGCUAGAGGGGGAUAACUACUGGAAAAGGUGGCUAAUACCGCAUACUAUCAGAUGAACCCAUGUGGGAUUAGCUAGUAGGUGGGGUAACGGCGCACCUAGGCGACGAUCCCUAGCUGGUCUGAGAGGAUGACCAGCCACACUGGGACUGAGACACGGCCCAGACUCCUCCGGGAGGCAGCAGUGGGGAAUAUUGCACAAUGGGCGCAAGCCUGAUGCAGCCAUGCCGCGUGUAUGAAGAAGGCCUUCGGGUUGUAAAGUACUUUCAGCGGGGAGGCGUUACCCGCAGAAGAAGCACCGGCUAACUCCGUGCCAGCAGCCGCGGUAAUAC